GAUAACAGACUAGAAUUCUUACAUCUAUAACUUCAAUAUGGUGAUUGUAUUGAGUGCAAAUGAUUUGAUAAGACAAAUUCCAGCUUAGCUUAUUAUUAUUAUUUAUGUCAAUUGCCCAAAGGAAUCAUUUAAAACUAAAAGGUAAUAUACAGACACUUAAAUCAGUCAUUUCCAAACUGUGUAAUACGACACCCUGCAUGCUGCUGAAACUAGUCAGAAAGUAUCACAGUAUCCUCUCAUCCUUUGUAGGCUUUUUUUUAAUUGUGUGUUUUGAGAUUAUAAUUGCUUUUUAUUUUGUUUUGUUAUAAUUGCUUGUUUAGAUUUGAUUAGUAAUACUUUGAGUUAUUUUUAAUAUUUGUGAUAAAUACUAAGGCCAGGCUUACUCCGAAAAAAUAUCAUAAUGGGGAACCGUGGCUAAUAAAUCGAGGGAGCUAUAAUUCGAAAAGUUUGGGAACUGCUGAUUUAAAUGUAUAAUCUUUCUUGUCUUUUGUUGUAGGCUGAAUAGGGAUUCUAUACUCUUAUUUAAAAU
rnacentral:lncRNA from 1 species